rnacentral:tRNA from 1 species
GCCUAAGUAACUUAAAGUUAAAAUGUCGGUCUUGUAAAUCGAAUAUGACGGUUAAAUUCCAUCCUUAGGCU